UGAGUAACACGUAUGCAACCGAACCCAUAACAGGGGGAUAACCCGGAGAAAUCCGGACUAAUACCGCAUAAGACCACGAUAUCGCAUGAUAUAGAGGUCAAAUAUUUAUAGGUUAUGGACGGGCAUGCGUCUGAUUAGCUGGUUGGCGGGUAACGCCCACCAAGGCAUCGAUCAGUAGGGGUUCUGAGAGGAAGGUCCCCCACAUUGGAACUGAGACACGGUCCAAACUCCUACGGGAGGCAGCAGUGAGGAAUAUUGGUCAAUGGGCGAAAGCCUGAACCAGCCAUGUCGCGUGAAAAGGAUGAAGGUCCUAUGGAUUGUAAACUUCUUUUGCAGGAGGGUAAAGUGAGCUACGUGUAGUUCAUUGCAAGUACCCUGCGAAUAAGCAUCGGCUAACUCCGUGCCAGCCGCCGC
rnacentral:rRNA from 1 species